AGUGAACGCUGGCGGCAGGCCUAACACAUGCAAGUCGAACGAACUCUUCGGAGUUAGUGGCGGACGGGUGAGUAACACGUGGGAACGUGCCUUUAGGUUCGGAAUAACUCAGGGAAACUUGUGCUAAUACCGAAUGUGCCCUUCGGGGGAAAGAUUUAUCGCCUUUAGAGCGGCCCGCGUCUGAUUAGCUAGUUGGUGGGGUAAUGGCCCACCAAGGCUACGAUCAGUAGCUGGUCUGAGAGGAUGACCAGCCACAUUGGGACUGAGACACGGCCCAAACUCCUACGGGAGGCAGCAGUGGGGAAUCUUGCGCAAUGGGCGAAAGCCUGACGCAGCCAUGCCGCGUGGAUGAUGAAGGUCUUAGGAUUGUAAAAUCCUUUCACCGGUGAAGAUAAUGACUGUAGCCGGAGAAGAAGCCCCGGCUAACUUCGUGCCAGCAGCCGCGGUAAUACGAAGGGGGCUAGCGUUGUUCGGAUUUACUGGGCGUAAAGCGCACGUAGGCGGACUUUUAAGUCAGGGGUGAAAUCCCGGGGCUCAACCCCGGAACUGCCUUUGAUACUGGGAGUCUUGAGUUCGAGAGAGGUGAGUGGAAUUGCGAGU
rnacentral:rRNA from 1 species